GUGUGUCAGCGCCUUAGCUCGAUUGCUGGACAACAUGUUCUAAUACCAUAUUUCAUAUGAUAUCUGCUUCAAACUACUCCUUAGCACACUUGUGAUGGAUUCUAUACUCUAUAGUUUACCACAUCUAUAUGCCACUAUUAUUGCAUCAGAAUUAGUUCCUUUUGUUCUCUGAACAUUCUGCUCGUACGUUGAAUAUUUGUACUACAUGCUGCAUUUUCUGCCACCGAGUUUUUUGUUUUUGUUUUUGGGGGAGGUUCAUCAGCAUCUGUUAGGUUAGGUUAGAUGAUCUGAUUUUUAAAGAAUAUAAUUCCGCUUUCUUACUUUGUGGGUUACUGACCUUUCAAAAUUGUUUAAACAUCUCUUUAAAUAUCCCUGCGUUGUAAUAUUUUCUUCUGUAUUAAAUACAUACUCUCCGGGGAUCCCUACAGUUCCGUCAUUUUUUUUCCACAUGAUUAUGAUGCAAAAAUAGACCGUAAACAUUUUUUUUUGGUUCAUGUGCUUGCUCUUGUUUCAUCUAACCUCCCCAGGUUAGCUUGCAUACUUAGGCGUGACUGUAAAAGAAAUCAAGAUUCUGAUAAUCCUAUUCGAAUUAUGAUAUUGUUUUUGUUCCCUAAGCUCUAUACCAUAGUAGCCAAGUUUCCGGGACGGUCGAGUCGAGAAACGGAAACGGGGAACGGGGAACGUGGCUGCCAAAAAGUAGGAAACGGCGAGGGUAUUCUUCUCUCAAACGUAUUAUUCGACAAGGAAACGCGAUCGGAACGAUUUGGGGACGACGUACCCGCGAUGGGGACAUUGGCAUAUUGCAGCCGCGGGCAGCUUGGUGGCCGGCGCUAGCCCACGGCAACCACGUCCAGGCAGUCUUUGCCAUGCGCGGAGACGGACUGCAGAGGCCAGCCCGUCGCUGCCGCACUACCUGUCCCUGGCGGCCUGGCCUUCACGCCGGCGGCGCAUCCUUGGCUCCUCCGCUGCUCCGCCUUAUACAUCUUGUAGACGAAACCGCCGGCGGCCGGAGUUUGCGAUUUUUCGACUACGGAGACGGACCACAAACGCAAUAGAAUCCAGGUAAAGCCUCCAACCUUCUCAUGAUCCAAUUCCCGUGGCUGAUUGCUACUUUCAGAUGGAGAAUUUAAGGAACAAGGUUGCUGAA